GGACAACGCCGAGUGGUCUGUGAACAUGGCUGUCGUGUAAGUAUGUAUGGUUGAAUUAAACAAAAUAAACUAAACUAACUUUAUUUAUACUGGAUAGCUCUAUCAGUUCUGCUGUUCUUCUUAGAGGUCCAGUAAGGGUCAUCUCUUAUUGAUCUAGUGUUACUACAGGAGGAAACCUAAACUAAACUAAACUAACUGUAUUUAUACUGGAUAGUUCUAUCAGUUCUAAACUGUUCUUCCUAGGGGUCCAGUAAGGAUCAUCUCUUAUUGAUCCAGUGUUUCUACAGGAGGAAACCUAAACUAAACUAACUUUAUUUAUACUGGAUAGCUCUAUCAGUUCUAAACUGUUCUUCCUAGAGGUCCAGUAAGGAUCAUCUCUUAUUGAUCCAGUGUUACUACAGGACGAAACCUAAACUAAACUAACUUUAUUUAUACCGGAUAGCUCUAUCAGUUCUAAACUGUUCUUCCCAGAGGUCCAGUAAGGAUCACCUCUUGUUGAUCCAGAUCUUAUUAAUCAUUGAACAUUACAUUCAAUAUUUCAGCUCGUGUUUUGCCGCAAUUGUUCACGUGCCUAUCAUGCUGAACCAUGCCAAACAAAUAAUGAAACCGCUGGUGCAACUGCGACAGGAACAACGGGCGCAAACGUAAGUCACCUAUAUAUAUGCAGCGUAGCCAUGCAUACAAUUUAUUGUCUAUCUGGAUACCUGGUGAAGUAUAUUGAUACUUGAUAGAGUCCUACACAGCCAGAAACGCGCAAGUCGGAACAGAUCUGCAACAGAUCUGUUAAAUCCUGUUGUCAACAAGCCGAUAUCUGGAUGCGUUCGCUCGCCUUGUACCUGUCUGUUCUGACAGGUCCUGCAACGGCCUGUCAACAGGUCUGUUACAAGCUGUUGUGACAGAGCUGCAGCAAUGCUGUUUUCAACAGGUCUGUUAGAAGCUGUUGUGACAGAGCUGCAGCAAUGCUGUUUUCAACAGGCCUGUCGCAAGUUGUUGGCACAGAGCUGCAGCAAUGCUGUUUUCAACAACUUGCGACAGACCUGUUGCAAACCGAGGAAAGCGCCUUAUGAAGCUUGUCUAUCCACUAUUUUGAACAAAAAACGGCCAAACAGGUUGCCAUAUUUCGGUUGUAGUGUUUCGUGAAAUAGAAGUUUGAAAUAUAAAGUUUUAUAAACAAACUUGCGAGAUAAUUUUUAUAUAUGAAUAUAAAGUUUUAUAAACAAACUUGCGAGAUGAUUUUUAUAUAUGAAUAUAAAGUUUUAUAAACAAACUUGCGAGAUAAUUUUUGAGCAAAACAGCUGAAAAAAUACGACAAAUUCAAGAAAUAUUCUUAUCGUAAACAAUUUUUAAAAUUAUUUGUCUUGAAGUACGACCGAAAUAUGACAACCUACUUGUAUAUUUUUCUUCAAAACAGUACAUACCAUAAACACAAAGCUUCAAUAAGGCGUCUUCCUCGCUCGCAGAUUUCACUUGAAAUUGGAAAGAAAUUAUAUAACGAAUUUCAUGUUCACAUCAGCAAUGACGAACGUUGCAGUGAACACUCGGUUGUUCAUGUAUUGUUUAUUUCUUAAGCUCUAGAUCUUGUAUUCUCAUUGCUACAGUUUCUUCAAAAAUCAAAACAGCUUUAAACUUGUUUGAUUUUGUUUGAGGCAGUUGUUGAAAUUUUGUUUGGCUCAAAAUUCAAAAACAACUAAACAUGAUUACGUGAUUGAUAUGUUUGUGAUAUUUCGCCCAAUUGCAACGAGGAAUGAUGACGUGUGCACACGCGUUUAUCCAAUCAGAUUAAAGAAAUAUAGCGAUAGCACACGUCAGCAAAUUGGAAUUUGGAUUUUGGAAAUCGGAACUUUUUAAAAAAAAAAUAAAACAGCGGCUUUUGCAUUUUAUAAUAAUCAGAGAAUAGAUAUUAUGGACUAUAAUCUCUCCUAUGUGAUUCAAUAUUGCUACCAAUGACAAUGAUUAAAUGAGAAAGUGAAGCCGGAAGUGUCCAUUUCGUGCGAUUUUAUAUCUCUUUACUCACAUUUUCGGUUUGUUUCCCAACAACAGGCUUGUUGAAACUUGUUGUGACAGGACAAAAAUUGUUUGUUGUGGACAGGUUUGUCGCAGGUCUGAUAACAAGCUUGCUGCAGACUUGACAAAAACAACUCGCGACAGGUCUGUUGGAACAAGUUGGAACAAACCUGUUGAUUUCAACAGACUUGCUGCAAGUUGUUCUAUCAGACCUGUUAUCUCUUGUUAGUAACAGGUUUGUAGCGGGUUGUUUCAACAAGUCGCUACGGCUCUGUUGUCAACAGCUUGCGACAGACCUGUUACCGCAAGCCUGUUACCGCCUGACGAAACCAACAGACCUGUCGCGACUUGUUGACAACUUGCCGCAAGCCGGUAAAAUCAACAGCUUGCGACAGGCCUGUGAGAUUUCUGGCUGUGUAGGACUGGAUCAAAAUUAAUUCACCUCACUUUAAGUAGUAAUUUAUUCGUAUGAGAUGUCAUUUCAAAUCCUCCAAUUCGGACUGAACUAGAUUUCCGCGCAUUUUGAUCCAGUCCUCGACUUUGCCUCGGGCGUGAACAAAUUGCGCUCACUUGAAAUCUAGUCCAGUUCUCAUAAUCAGAUUUCAAAUCGUACGUAAAUUAUUUAAAUUUGCUUGAGUUCGGCUUUUGAUUUACAGGGCGCUGUGUUCAGGUGCUCAGUUCGGCUUUCUUUGACUCUAAUUGGAAAUGUUUAUUAUUGUCCUGUCUGUUCAGAGAUUUCAAGUUAGUGAAACAAACAAUGAGAGGUCAAGAUGGGACCGCCAGUCGCAAGAAUGCAUCAGGAAUACGACCAAGAGAUGUCCAAACACGAAAUGUAAUGUUCCCGUUGAGAAAAACG